GACUCAAAUAAAUAUGACCACGACAUUUGGGACUCGGGUAUACGACGUUUGUGACUUUGGUAUACGUCGUUUGGGACUCGGGUAUACGACGUUUGGGACUCGUAUCGGGAUAAUUUAUUAGAAAUAGGCCAAUUCAAAACACGAAAGAAAAUAUUUAUUAACAUGAAACACGUGGUUAGUAAAAGGCUCAACCAAACGAUAAAACAUUAGUUGCACUUACGGUUCUUUGAUAAUCAUCGAUUCUCAUAAAAGUUAUAUAUUUAUUUAAAACUAAUAAUAUGCUGAUGAAUUUAUUUGAAAAUGACCUACACAAAAAAACAAAAUAAAUAUUUACACGACAUGCAAUCUUUUUUACAAGCCCCUAGAAAUUGUUAACGAUAAUCCGUGAGCUGCACGUUGACAUGCUUGUCGUAGAUGGCAAUACCAAUCGAUAAAUUAGUGCGUACAAGGCAAAGUUUUUUUUGAGGAAAAUAUAAGAAAUGGCAACGAUCAAAGCGGGAUAAUUAAAGCUGAUUAACUGAUAAUCCCGAUGUUAUAGCAGUAUGUUCAAAGAAACCUAACGGUUCUUUGGUGGAUGAGGAAAAACGUGAGUUGUCAAUCAUCGAGAAUGGCGUCCGUGUGUUGAUUGCAGUUAUACCGUUUCACGAAAAAACAUGAGCAGUAGUCGGUCAAUCAAGCUCGUUUACUGUUUGAUAAAAGAAAAACAACGAAGUAUUACUAAAUAUACACAAAUUUUCAACAAUAUAUUAUUGUCAAGUUUUAUACUCGCAGAUAAAACAAAACAAAAGAGAAGUUUUAUACUCGCAGAUAAUACAAAAUAAAGGGGAACUAGCAGUGUUAAUCGCGGUCUCAACAAUCGCCGAUCAACUAAAUAAAACGAAAGACAACUAAGACAGCUGUUACUAAACAUGUAUAUCUCAUAAAUAAAUAGCCCCAACUGUCGUUUCUAUUGAGUACCAAAUGUCGUUUGUGUUGAGUCCCAAUUGACGCCAAUCAAGUCCCAAACGUCGUCAACUGAGUCCCAAAUGUCGUUUAUGUUGAGUCCCAAAUGACGUGAGUCCCAAAUGACGUGAUACCGUAGAGAGAACUCUAAAUCAAUGGUUUGUUCGGUGAGUGAAAGAGAAGGGCUUUGGGUAAUAACGCAGUUCCCGUCGAUAGGUCUACAUGACAUACUUUGUGAACCUAGAAGUACCAGGAAAAAGAAUGGGAGGAAAGUGUGCUCAUGUGUUGGCAAUAAUAAUAAUGAUUGAAGAAUGGAGAAUGGCAGGACAGAAAAAUGCCCCUUCUCAACCAUCAUCGAGUUUACCAUAACAGUGAGAUAAGCCAAGGGUGGCGAAAAUUUAACCAGGCCCUGUUUCACAGAUUAUAAUUUCAAGACCUGGGAAUGUAAACAGAAAAAGAAAGCCUGUGAUGGCAAAUUUUUACGACAACAGAAAAAUUCAAGUAUCAGAUGCCAAUAUACUACAUGUACAUCCUCAGACCUUGAAGGACAGUGUAAUCUCAUACUUGGUGAGCAGCACAGCAGACUCCAUAACAACGUCCACUGGUCCUCAACUUAUUGGAUCCCCACUUGCACAUUAUGCACCCUUUAUGCAAGUCACAACUCAACUGAGAACAGAGAACUCUGAUAAAUGUGGUGAAAUAUUUUUUCCAAAACCAGUUGAUGUACAUUUAGAGUUAAAUCAGAUAGUUAAGAUGAAAGUUGAGUGGAAAUAAAAUUAAUAAAUAGAUGUAAAGCAAGAUGAAGCCAUAAAAUAGAGAUAUCCACAAGAAAUAAUAAUAACACCUGGAUGAACGAAAGAAAGUGUUGUGUUACUGCCUCAAAGAAUGAAAUAAACGAUUCAUUUUUGAAAAACAUAUUUGACAAAAUUCAUUUUAGGUGCUACAUCAGACGCAAUUGUUUGUGAUAAAGGCGAGACUGGGCUCAUUGAAAUUAAAUGUCCUUUUUCAGCUCGAGAUAUGACACUUACAGAAGCAUGUAAUAAACUGAAAGAUUUCUUUUUAAUGCAAAAUGAUGAUGAAUAUAAAUUGUCUAGAAACCAUAUUCACCGGUUUCAGAAUCAGAGACAACUUCUCAUAACUGGGGCUCAAUUUUGCGACUGUCACUUUUACAAGACAGGAUUUCUGCAUAGACAGAAUAUAUCCCGAAAAACAAACCAUGCAGCAACUUGUUUCAAAAUUAUAUUGUUUUUAUGUUGAACAUUUAAAGCCAUAUCUUAUAAAAUAUUCUACAUGUCUAUAAAUAAGUUUAACUAACCUGUGGCAGCAUCAACUAUAUUAUCUGUACCAUUUUAUUAAUAAAGUAUUUUCUUCACAGUUUUCAUACUCAA